UUUUAUGAUGUCCCUGUCAUGUACAAAAGUAGGAGGGAACAGAGAAAUGCUCAGACUGCAGUUCUUUCGAGGGCCAGGCGCAGGGGACACUGAAAAGAGGGCCCACUGACACAAUGGAUCGACUCACCGGCUCAUAAUAAACUUCCUGAUUGCCUGUAGUCCAUUGCCCCCCACCCGUGCGUUUGCAUGGAGGACUUUUCUUUUUUCUUCCCCACACUUGGCUCGGCUUUGUGUAUCUUUAUUAUGUCUCGUGGUGUGUUUUUGUCCAUAAAGGCAUACCUGCGCUUUC